GAUGAACGCUGGCGGCGUGCUUAACACAUGCAAGUCGAACGAAGCACUUUAACCUGAUUCUUCGGAUGAAGGUUUUUGUGACUGAGUGGCGGACGGGUGAGUAACGCGUGGGUAACCUGCCUCAUACAGGGGGAUAACAGUUAGAAAUGACUGCUAAUACCGCAUAAGACCACAGAGCCGCAUGGCUCGGUGGGAAAAACUCCGGUGGUAUGAGAUGGACCCGCGCCUGAUUAGGUAGUUGGUGGGGUAACGGCCUACCAAGCCAACGAUCAGUAGCCGACCUGAGAGGGUGACCGGCCACAUUGGGACUGAGACACGGCCCAAACUCCUACGGGAGGCAGCAGUGGGGAAUAUUGCACAAUGGGGGAAACCCUGAUGCAGCGACGCCGCGUGAGCGAAGAAGUAUUUCGGUAUGUAAAGCUCUAUCAGCAGGGAAGAAAAUGACGGUACCUGACUAAGAAGCACCGGCUAAAUACGUG
rnacentral:rRNA from 1 species